rnacentral:rRNA from 1 species
AUGCAACCAGAAGAGAUGGGGAAUGAGAUGGCGCCUGAUAUCGCAGAGGGUGCGGCGAGGCGCGUCGGCUGGCGCGGCUACUGCUUCCCUCCUCCUGCCGAGUCCGGAUCGAGGUCGCGCUCCUCGGCUCGAGCUCCUCCUGCCGAGGACGGAUCGAGGGCGAAGGGCACCGGUGGAGCACGGGGCGCGGCUGCUGCUCCCCUCCUUAUAUUGAGUCCUACUCAAGGGCGAGCUCCUCCUGCCGAGGCCGGAUCAAGGCCGACGGGCGCCGGCAGAGCAGGGCCGGCCGAGGCCGAGGCGGCGGCGGCAGGAGAAGAGGCGGACGAGGCCGAGGCGGCGACGGCGGCAGAAGAGGAGGCGGCUGCGGGGGCGCGGGCUAGGUCUGACUGCUUUUCCUCUUUUCUCUCGCUGCCGCUUCCCCUUUUAUUUUCUGUCGUGCCUGCUAGCCCAGGUCGCCCGCUCGGUCGCUGCUCUCUCCGAGGCGCGCACCUGCGAGACCGACAGAUGGGCCCGUCGCGGCUGAAGCGGAGGCGCGACCGCUGGGUGCAAACGAGGACGGUAAAAAAACGCCCUGCCAACCCACGAACGCCCCUGGCAACCCACCAUCAAUCGCUCCUGUUUUCACCCGGACACAGAGACGCACACACCGUAUCGCUGCUAGGCUGGCCCCCGCGCAGGCCUGGCCCACUCGUCAACUGCUCCUGGGCCGAUCGCGGGGCGUACAGAAAAACGAGCGGUGGGAUUUUCACCAGGCGACGGAAAUUACUGUUAUGCCGCCAGCGAGGUGAAACGUGCGCGCAGGAUGAAUCUGAAUCCGCGAUGGCGCUGGAUGGGCGGGUACUCUAG